ensembl:lncRNA
UUUUUACUUGGUUGAAUUUCUGUGUAAUGAAAAGAAAAAGUCUCUCCUUGCCUAUGUAACAGACAUAUUUGGGAAACUGAACAAACUGUAUGCAACCAUGCAGGGGAAAUACAAAAACAUUAUACAGAUGAGUGACCAUAUCAGUGGAUUCAGAGGAAAGAGUUCUUAUUGGAGUCUUUCAAAAGCUAGCAAUGCCCCGUUCCCUCGGCAGUGCAUGUUUCUAACAGAAAACAGUAUCAGUACAUUUCCCACACAAGUGAUGACUGCUCACCUCCAACACUUGGAAGAGCACUUGAGGACCUACUUCCCAAUCCAUUUGUCUGGGAUCCUUGCUCAGUUGACAUGCCAGUAAGUGAAAUCGAACAGCUGAUUGAGCUGUCGAUCAUGUGACCGAAUUCUGCAGACAAACCAUUCACGUGUCACCACGGAGGAGUUUUUGUUCUUGACUCGAAGUGAAACCCUGCUGUCUCCCUCUGAGCAUUAUUGCUACGUUUAUAACAACUGAGAACUGGGAACUUGGAAUCUCAGACUUCUGACUUCAGUACGUUCAAGAUAACUGGGAACUCUGGAAAAAAUAAGCUCCAACUGAGAAAAAUUGUUUUGAACAGUCAUCCAACUCGGAAUUCCAACUCGGGAACUCAGGCCUCUUUCUAGAGCUCUGACUUUCCGACCUGAAGAUCACUGAGGUCAUGAUUUGACAUUGUAUUUUUCAGAGUUCCCAGUUGUCUUGAAAGCACCAUAAAACUCAUGGUACCCUUCGCCAGCUCAUAUCUGUGUAAUGCUGGUUUUAAUGCCCUCGUUUGCAUUAAAACCAAAUAUCGAUCCAGAUUUGAUGUGACAGCAGAGAUGAGGUGCACACUGUUGACCACGCCCCCUGACUUUGAGAAGCUCCGACGCGACAUGCAUCAAGCACACCCAUCCCAUUAGUGGUGGUGAGAUAAGAGACAUUAUGUCCGACUAAUUUGCAAUUGACUGCCAUAGCCCCACAUUAAAGGUAUGUGAUGUUUGUUGUUGAUGUGGACACCAAGGAACUUGAAGCUCUCAACCUGCUCCACUACAGCCCCACCGAUGAGAAUGGGGGCAUGCUCGGUCCUCCUUUUCCUGUUGUCCAAAAUCA